CACGCAACAACAGUGUAGGUCACACUGUUUGAGUUUUUACCUCGUAAUAUCGUACGUGGAACUGCGGAGGGAUCAUUC
rnacentral:rRNA from 1 species